rnacentral:rRNA from 1 species
GAUGAACGCUGGCGGCGUGCCUAAUACAUGCAAGUCGAGCGAACAGAUAAGGAGCUUGCUCCUUUGACGUUAGCGGCGGACGGGUGAGUAACACGUGGGUAACCUACCUAUAAGACUGGAAUAACUCCGGGAAACCGGGGCUAAUGCAGGAUAACAUGUUGAACCGCAUGGUUCUACAGUGAAAGGCGGCUUUGCUGUCACUUAUAGAUGGACCCGCGCCGUAUUAGCUAGUUGGUGAGGUAACGGCUCACCAAGGCAACGAUACGUAGCCGACCUGAGAGGGUGAUCGGCCACACUGGAACUGAGACACGGUCCAGACUCCUACGGGAGGCAGCAGUAGGGAAUCUUCCGCAAUGGGCGAAAGCCUGACGGAGCAACGCCGCGUGAGUGUUGAAGGUCUUCGGAUCGUAAAACUCUGUCAUUAGGGAAGAACAAAUGCGUAAGUAACUGUGCGCGUCUUGACGGUACCUAAUCAGAAAGCCACGGCUAACUACGUG